rnacentral:rRNA from 1 species
ACGAACGCUGGCGGCGUGCUUAACACCUGCAAGUCGAGCGAGGCCCCUCCUUCGGGAGGGUGUCCUAGCGGCGAACGGGUGAGUAACACGUGGGCAACCUGCCCUCAGCUCUGGGAUAACUCCGGGAAACCGGGGCUAAUACCGGAUACGACCUCCACGGGCAUCUGCGGAGGUGGAAAGUUUUUCGGCUGAGGAUGGGCCCGCGGCCUAUCAGCUAGUUGGUGGGGUAGUGGCCCACCAAGGCGACGACGGGUAGCCGGCCUGAGAGGGCGACCGGCCACACUGGGACUGAGACACGGCCCAGACUCCUACGGGAGGCAGCAGUGGGGAAUAUUGCGCAAUGGGCGAAAGCCUGACGCAGCGACGCCGCGUGAGGGACGAAGGCCUUCGGGUUGUAAACCUCUUUCAGCAGGGACGAAGCGAAAGUGACGGUACCUGCAGAAGAAGCACCGGCCAACUACGUG